AGAAAGAGAAAGGGUCGCUCAUUGGAUUUAUGUCCUAGAAAACAUUUUUAUAAAUACUACUUUAGCACAGACCCUACUCAUUUUAACACUCGCGGACAUUGUUUUUGCAUAUUUAAUCCAAUCCGUCUGAGAGAUAUGAGAAUUAAUUGCUGACAAGCUACAGGCCUAAAGGACAGAAAAAAUUAGCAUUUCAAGUACUUAUAAAUUUUCUUCUUAGUGGACUGUAGGUCAAACUGAACAGCAGAUUGUUUUCACAACCCAAUGCUGAUCACUGGAGUUUAUCUGCAGUUUGUCAGAAGAGCAAGGAAAGGACUCUCAGUCUGAGAUGAGUCUCUCACAGAAACAGAGUGUAAGAUCAGACUCACAUGUGUCCAGCUCUGUUUCUGUGAAGAGUGACUGGUCAAAGAAUGAAGCACCAAAAUUCAGUGAAGAAACAACAUCACAACCCAAAUGUUUAAGAUCAGGCUCACAUGUGUCCAGCUCUGUGUCUGUGAAGAGUGACUGGUCAAAGGGUAAUGUACCAAACUUCAGUGAAGAAACAACAUCACAACCCAAACG